rnacentral:lncRNA from 10 species
AAACGUAGUCCAACAACGAAAGAGCCCUGAAGCUCAAGCGGAGCCCGCUGGCCGCAGGGGCCGCACCACGCCCCAGACCCUGGAGUUUCCGGGUGCGCAGACCCUUGCCAUCAGCAGAGGCUGCCGCUGCGCGUCCCCUAGGCGCGGAAGAGGCGGCUGGUGGUCCCUGACGGCAAGGUUUUAUACAUUACGAAUAAAGCUGGCACGUUUCCAUUUCUCCUGGGCAAAUAUUUAGAAGAAAAGUUGCUGGGUAAUUGAAGCACUGAGACCACAGAGGCAAGAGCUGGGGAAGGAAAACUGCCCAUGAGAUGAGAUGUGCCUCUCAGCUUCCAAAAUCGGGGAGGGUUGCAAAGGGAUGACACCAUCCACACCAGAACUGCAUGAAUGGCAUCAGGAAUGAUCAGAGACCAUAAAUUCCAGUGAGACCAAUAACACCAUUUCUGGUCCUGCAUGCUCUUCCAAACUUUGCCACUAACCCCUUCAAGAGGUUAGAAAAGGCAACAGAACUUCAUCCUAAUCUCUCUCAAGAUGCCCCCCAUGGAAUCCAGCCAUCAUGCUGUGAGGAAUCCAAGCAGCUACAUAGAAAGGCCACAACUAGAUAUUCCAGCUGUAGUCAGCUGAAGCUCCAGCCAACAGCCAACAUCAACCACCACACGUGAAAACGAGCAAGCCUUCAGAUGAUUCCGACUCCCAACCUCCAAGCCACCUCAGCUGAAGCCAAGUAGAGCAGAGACUAGCUGUCCCCCAAUGCUCUAAUAUGCAGAUUCAUAAUUAAAAAGAAUGUUAUUGUUCUAAGCCAUGAAGUUUUGGGGUGGUUUGUCAUGCAGCAACUGGAACUGCC